rnacentral:tmRNA from 1 species
AACGGGGACGACUUGGCUUCGACAGGAGUAGAGUGGCCUUAGUGGCAUGUCGCUUUAAGCAAAGCGUAAAAAGCUUAAAAUUAAAAUUAAACGCAAACAACGUUAAAUUUGCUCCUGCUUACGCUAAAGCUGCGUAAGUUCAGUUGAGCCUGAAUUUUAGAUGAUACUAUCUAGUUUAAAAUUUAGUCAUCUUUGAUAGUGUAGAUUAAAAAUUGACAAUUUUUAAUCGAAAUUGAAGUCUUAGUCUAACUUGAAAUUUUGGAAGGUGAGUUUAGUUAGAUGAAAUUUUCACCUUUACUAAACAUGUAGAUGCUGUGGUUGUUUUAUUUUUGGACAGGGGUUCAAUUCCCCUCGUCUCCACC